rnacentral:rRNA from 1 species
UUUAAUGGCUGCAGUAAUUUGACUGUACAAAGGUAGCAUAAUCAUUAGUUUUUUAAUUAAAAGCUUGUAUGAAAGGUUGGACGAAGUAAAUUCUGUCUCUUUUUAAUAUAAUUAGAAUUUAAUUUUUAAGUUAAAAAGCUUAAAUUUUUAUAAAAGACGAGAAGACCCUAUAGAGUUUUAUAAUUUUUUAAAAAUAAUUGAUUUAGAUUUAUUAAUUUUAUUUUUAAAAAAUUAUUUUAUUGGGGUAAUAAUAAGAUUAAAUUAAUUCUUUUAAAAAAAACCAUUAAUUUAUGAAAUAUAUGAUCCAUAAUUUAUGAUUAUAAG